AUAUAACAUAAGCUAAUACACUUCACAGUUGUAAAAGGAACCGGUGAAGUUUUCACAGUUCAACUAAAUCACAAGCUCGGUACCUACGAAAGAUUUUACGACUUAUGGCGAAAAUGUAGACAGCAACGGCGUCAAAGUUUGAAGGCGGGUCCAGUGGCUGGCAAAUCGGUAAUUGUUGUUAUAAUCAUUACUAUAAUCAUCGUUAUCAUCAUGUCACUUUCUCUCWAAKUAAUCAAUUGUUUUUGUUUGCCCACAACAGGCAUUACCCUCUGUUUCUUUCGUCGAAYCAGCAAGGUUAGUCUGGUCUCAAGG